rnacentral:tRNA from 1 species
GCCGAGAUGGUGGAACUGGAAGACACGUGAGACUCAAAAUCUCACGCUGCUUAGGUAGCGUGCGGGUUCGACUCCCGCUCUCGGUA